CUCUUCUUUUCCCUGCAAACCUAAAAUCUUCUGAUAUGGAUGUCCUGCCUGCAUGAGGAGGAUGCUGUGAAGAGGCAUAAUCACCAGAAAGUUCAAAGAACAUGUAUAGAAACCUAUAAAAUAUGCCAUUCUACAGUAUACUGAAGAAAGGUUUUUUCUUUAUAAUUUGGCUCAAGUGACAGCUGAAAACAAAGGAAUGGGAGAAUGGGGAAGGCUC